UACGGAGGGGGCUAGCGUUGUUCGGAAUUACUGGGCGUAAAGCGUGCGCAGGCGGUUAUGCAAGACAGGUGUGAAAUCCCCGGGCUUAACCUGGGAACUGCAUUUGUGACUGCAUAGCUAGAGUACGGUAGAGGGGGAUGGAAUUCCGCGUGUAGCAGUGAAAUGCGUAGAUAUGCGGAGGAACACCGAUGGCGAAGGCAAUCCCCUGGACCUGUACUGACGCUCAUGCACGAAAGCGUGGGGAGCAAACAGG
rnacentral:rRNA from 1 species